rnacentral:rRNA from 1 species
AUUGAACGCUGGCGGCAGGCCUAACACAUGCAAGUCGAGCGGAUGAAGGGAGCUUGCUCCUGGAUUCAGCGGCGGACGGGUGAGUAAUGCCUAGGAAUCUGCCUGGUAGUGGGGGAAACGGCCGGAAACGGGGCGCAAAACCCCCAACCGCCUUGAGGGAGAAAGUGGGGACUUUUGGGCCUCCCCCUUUCAAAAUGCCCUAGGUUGGAUUAGCUAGUUGGUUGGGUAAAGGCCUACCAAGGCGACGAUCCGUAACUGGUCUGAGAGGAUGAUCAGUCACACUGGAACUGAGACACGGUCCAGACUCCUACGGGAGGCAGCAGUGGGGAAUAUUGGACAAUGGGCGAAAGCCUGAUCCAGCCAUGCCGCGUGUGUGAAGAAGGUCUUCGGAUUGUAAAGCACUUUAAGUUGGGAGGAAGGGCAGUAAGUUAAUACCUUGCUGUUUUGACGUUACCAACAGAAUAAGCACCGGCUAACUUCGUG